GGCCGUGUAGGAAAUUGGCAUCGCACCUGACUAUCAUGAUUCGGAGAUGUCAGACUCAGAUGUGAACAUUCAGGGAUUGCAGGUUCGACCCCUGCCUCGGCCA